rnacentral:rRNA from 1 species
CACUAUGCCCAACCCUAAACCUUGAUAGCAAAAUACACCCACUAUCCGCCCGGGAACUACGAGCACUAGCUUAAAACCCAAAGGACUUGGCGGUGCUUUAGAUCCACCUAGAGGAGCCUGUUCUAGAACCGAUAACCCCCGUUAAACCUCACCCUCCCUUGUUCUUCCCGCCUAUAUACCGCCGUCGUCAGCUUACCCUGUGAAGGCCUAAUAGUAAGCAAAACCAGUAUAACUCAAAACGUCAGGUCGAGGUGUAGCACAUGAGAGGGGAAGAAAUGGGCUACAUUCUCUACCUUAGAAAACACGGACAAUGAAAUGAAAAAACAUUAGAAGGAGGAUUUAGUAGUAAGCAGAAAAUAGAGUGUUCUGCUGAAGCUGGCCCUGAAGCGCGCACACACCGCCCGUCACUCUCCCCAAGCCACUCUGACCUAAUAAAUAAAAAAUAACCCAGGCAAAGGGGAGGCAAGUCGUAA